rnacentral:rRNA from 1 species
CCUACGGGGUGCAGCAGUGAGGAAUAUUGGUCAAUGGACGAGAGUCUGAACCAGCCAAGUAGCGUGAAGGAUGACUGCCCUAUGGGUUGUAAACUUCUUUUAUAUGGGAAUAAAAUGUUCCACGUGUGGGAUUUUGUAUGUACCAUAUGAAUAAGGAUCGGCUAACUCCGUGCCAGCAGCCGCGGUAAUACGGAGGAUCCGAGCGUUAUCCGGAUUUAUUGGGUUUAAAGGGAGUGUAGGUGGACUGUUAAGUCAGUUGUGAAAGUUUGCGGCUCAACCGGAAAAUUGCAGUUGAAACUGGCAGUCUUGAGUACAGUAGAGGUGGGCGGAAUGCGUGGUGUAGCGGUGAAAUGCUUAGAUAGCACGAAGAACUCCGAUUGCGAAGGCAGUUCACUGGACUGCAACUGACACUGAGGCUCGAAAGUGUGGGUAUCAAACAGGAUUAGAUACCCCUGUAGUC